GAUGAACGCUGGCGGCGUGCUUAACACAUGCAAGUCGAACGAUGAAGCCCAGCUUGCUGGGUGGCUUAGUGGCGAACGGGUGAGUAACACGUGAGUAACCUGCCCUUAACUCUGGGAUAAGCCUGGGAAACUGGGUCUAAUACCGGAUAGGAGCGUCCACCGCAUGGUGGGUGUUGGAAUGGUUUAUCGGUUUUGGAUGGACUCGCGGCCUAUCAGCUUGUGGGUGAGGUAUUGUCUCACCAAGGCGACGACGGGUAGCCGGCCUGAGAGGGUGGCCGGCCACACUAGGCUUGGGACACGGCCCAGCCUCCUCCGGUAGGCAGCGGUGCGGAGUAUUGCACAAGGGGCGGAAGCCUGAUGCAGCGCCGCCGCGUGGGGGAUGACGGCCUGCGGGUUGUAAACCUCAUUCAGUAUGGAAGAAGCGAAAGUGACGGUACCUGGAGAAGAAGCACCGGCUAACUACGUG
rnacentral:rRNA from 1 species